CCCCUUCCCUCUACAUGCACAGGUUGAACUUAUAGCCAUAAGAAAGUGUCAUAGAAGGACAGCAGAAUCUGAAUCUUCAUUCCUUUAUAGGGGAAACAUGAAAUUUGAAAAAGAAGUAAAAUAAGGAGAUAUGGUAGGAAACAAAAAGGCAGACUGUGCAGAAAUACAGCAAAGUUGGAAGAAAGAAAUGUUUUGAUGGGAGACAGGGAUGGAAAAUAUUCAAGACAUGACAUAUGUGUAGCAAACACCAAAAAUGAGGAUUGGUUAUGUGAAAACUUCCACAAGGUAAAAAAAAUGUUGGAGGGAAAUCACUAG
rnacentral:lncRNA from 1 species